UGAAGAAAUGCAUGGCAUGGAUUACCCAGAGGUCCCUUGGAACUUGGUACAAUUGGCCAGCACUGUCCCAGGUUCGGGGGGGUAGUAGUCGAAUACGGUAACCUUGCUUUGUUAGGUUCUAGUGACUCCUUGUGUCGGCUUGUUCACGCCAGGGGGUGCAUGCCUUCUGGCGCAUGAGGAUUCCAGUGACGCCAUCCUGGUUGAGCGAGCAGAAACAGAAUGGCAUUCGUCUUCCCAAUAGGUGGCACUGUGACCCCAUGUUUGUACUGAUGUCUCGGGUGGACCAUGAUGGAUGGAAGCUCUCAUUGAGCGUGGGAGAGGAAGAUGGAGAGCAUCCGUGACCGCAGAUGAUGAUCAGCCAUGGGAAAAUCAGCUGCAUAAACAGGUCCGCUCCAUUAACGCUUAGAGAACGCUCAGGGAACACGACAAUAGCCAUGUCCAUGUGGUUUUCAGUCAUCUUCUGUCAUUGUGUGGGGACCUAUAGAGCUGUCUAUCUACGUGAGUGAACAGCAGAAAAUGUGACUAAACACCGG
ensembl:lncRNA